GCCAGCGGCGAUAAGCACGUUGAAUGCACCAGUUCUUAAUGGAUCACUGAAGUUAAGCAACGUUGAGUGUGUUUAGUAUCCGGAAGGGUGACCGUCUGGGCAAUCGCGUGCUGCUGGUU
rfam:Asian citrus Psyllid, Diaphorina citri - Florida Strain, whole genome shotgun sequence.